CCUACGGGAGGCAGCAGUAAGGAAUAUUGGUCAAUGGACGCAAGUCUGAACCAGCCAUGCCGCGUGAAGGAUUAAGGUCCUCUGGAUUGUAAACUUCUUUUAUCUGGGACGAAAAAAGGCGAUUCUUCGUCACUUGACGGUACCAGAUGAAUAAGCACCGGCUAACUCCGUGCCAGCAGCCGCGGUAAUACGGAGGGUGCAAGCGUUAUCCGGAUUCACUGGGUUUAAAGGGUGCGUAGGCGGGCAGGUAAGUCAGUGGUGAAAUCCUAGAGCUUAACUCUAGAACUGCCAUUGAUACUAUCUGUCUUGAAUAUUGUGGAGGUAAGCGGAAUAUGUCAUGUAGCGGUGAAAUGCUUAGAUAUGACAUAGAACACCUAUUGCGAAGGCAGCUUACUACGCAUAUAUUGACGCUGAGGCACGAAAGCGUGGGGAUCAAACAGGAUUAGAUACCCUGGUAGUCCACGCCCUAAACGAUGAUUACUCGACAUUUGUGGUACACUAUAAGUGUCUGAGCGAAAGCAUUAAGUAAUCCACCUGGAAGUACGACCGCAAGGUUGAAAUCAAAGGAAUUGACGG
rnacentral:rRNA from 1 species